CGGCUGCACCAGCUACAGGGGCCUGGCUAGCUACGGGUGAAUGAAGGGUGCGAAGCCGAGUCUCCAAUUCAGUAAUCCUGGCCUCCAGAGCUGCAAAUAUGCUACAUUUGUUACAGGUAUCAUUACUGCUAAAGGAGGCCGAGGAGUAACUAAACAUCUGACACAAUGAGCAGGAAAGUGCAGGAGGGACAGGUGAAGUAGCCAUGGUGCUAACGAGUCGGCUGCGAGCUAAGGUAAGCUAGCGAAACAGUACAGACACAGUGAGUGAAUACCAUCCAUCCAUCCAUUCACUGCCGCUUGUCCUUUUCAGGGUCGCGGGGGCGCUGGAGCCUAUCCCAGCUGUCAUAGGGCGAGAGGCGGGGUACACCCUGGACAGGUCGCCAGUCUGUCGCAGGGCUAAUGAUGGCCUUUUUGGCCAGGGUGAAGGGAGUAUCUGCCAUCAAACAAGAAGACAGCCGCAUGUAACUACGACGGUGUUUGCUAGUUCACCUUACAUGCAUUAAUGUAAUAAUGUGGUUACCGUACUCAACGUUAAUUACACACGAACAACAUCAUGAAGCUACUCACACAGAGAAGAACGGCUGCUGCCAUCAUCAUCAUCCGUCAUCAUUUCUGCUACGCUGACAGGGCUAGGGGCCAGGACUCUACUCUUCGGGUUUUUGGGGAUGUUGCUAACUCCGGGUCCGAUAACAGGCACCACACCUGCAGUAGAUGUGCACAGUGUGAGGUCUCG
ensembl:lncRNA